GGCCUGUUGAAAAUGAUUUCAGGUYUGACCUGCCCAAUGAUGAGUUUAAUGGCCGCGGUAUACUGACCGUGCAAAGGUAGCAUAAUCACUAGUUUUUUAAUUGAAAGCUUGUAUGAAAGGUUUGAUGAAAAAAAUACUGUCUCUGUAAAAAUUUGUUAGAAUUUUAUUUUUAAGUAAGAAAGCUUAAAUGUAUGUAGAAGACGAGAAGACCCUAUAGAGUUUUAUAUUAAACUGUUAAUGAAGUAAAUGGUUUAAAAAAGUUUCAUUAAGUUUUUUUUAUUUUGUUGGGGUGAUAGAAAAAUUAAUAGAACUUUUUUUUUAUGUAUACACUUAUUUGUGAGUAAUUGACCCUGGUUUGUCAGGUUAUAAGAUUAAAUUACCUUAGGGAUAACAGCGUAAUUUUUUUUAGAGUUCUUAUCGAAAAAAAAGAUUGCGACCUCGAUGUUGGAUUAAAAUAUAUAAUUGGUGAAGAAGCUGAAGUUAUUAGGUCUGUUCGACCUUUAAAAUUUUACAUGAUCUGAGUUUAAACCGGCGUGAG
rnacentral:rRNA from 1 species